rnacentral:lncRNA from 1 species
UUCGAGCAACUCUAAGGGUGGUAUGGACCUGCAGCAGCCGCGGUUCGGGACUUUUCCUAGUAAACCCUUCGAUUUCUCUCCUUUUCUUUUGGAUAUUUCAAGAGCCGGUUCGAUCUACUCAUUUCCGGCAUGUUUUUGAAUGGUGUUUCAGGCGAAGUGACGGCGGUGGUGGCUGGAACCGACGAGACCUGACAGAGAAGCGGAGAGGGCAAAGAAAGAAAGAGACGAGAAUGUGAGAGAUAUAACCGGUGGUGGUGGUGGUCAGCGGCGGUCCGAGACUCGGACCGACGGUCCUUGUCUCAACCCAGCGGUCUUCGUUUUUGUCCAACAGACUUCCGGUUGACUCGGCUAUGGUUCACCUGGUGGUUCAGCAGGUUCAAGAUGUGUGUCUUUCAAGUGGGUUUUGGUUUAACUCGGCUUAACUCGGUGUGUUUCAGUUAAACUCGGUUCAACUCGGCGUAACUCAGUUCAACUCGGUACGACUCAAGUGUUUUUCAGCUCGACUCAGCCUAACUCGGUCAACCGAGUCAACUCAGCCGGUCAACCCAACUGACUCGGUCAACUCAGCCGGUCAACCUGGCUGACUCGGUCAGCCCAGCCGGUCAACUCAGCUGACUCGGUCAACACAGCCGACCUUUCAGUUUUCGACACGAGAUUUGGUAAAGUAGUAAUAUCGAGAUUAAUAAUUACGAUUUACGAUAGUUUUUAAUGGAUUACGAAUAUUGUAGAAUGCACACUAGCGAGUCUCGACUUGGAAACGACAUCACAAAGUCGUAA